rnacentral:lncRNA from 1 species
UCGAGGUGGAGACAUCUUUGCUUUUACUGCUCGACGGCCUAUUGAAGGAGAACAACAGUCGAUACUUAGUGUGGGGAAAGAAAAUGUGGGAGUUAGUGGUUUGGCUGAGGUGGGGAUGUACAAUAAGAACACAUUUUCUAAUAAAAAUAAAGAACAAAUGGGUGGAGAAGGUGACUGAUUUGGGCAACACAAGAUGAGGUAAGAGACAAUUUGAUAUAUUCAUUACCAGAACAAGUGGAGAGCAACAGGGAUCUACGACUUUCCGGAGAAGCACGGCGG